rnacentral:rRNA from 1 species
CCGACAAGCGGUGGAGGUAUGUGGUUAAUUCGAUGCAACGCGAAGAACUACCUGGUCUUGACAUCCGGAGACCCUUAGGAAACUAGGGGGUGCUUCCAUCUGGAAGAAUCUGGAGACAGGUGCUGCAUGGCUGUCGUCAGCUCGUGUCGUGAGAUGUUGGGUUAAGUCCCGCAACGAGCGCAACCCUUGCCUUUAGUUGCCAGCAGUUCGGCUGGGCACUCUAAAGGGACUGCCGGUGUUAAACCGGAGGAAGGUGGGGAUGACGUCAAGUCCUCAUGGCCUUUAUGACCAGGGCUACACACGUACUACAAUGGCCGAUACAAAGGGCAGCGACACUGCGAGGUGAAGCCAAUCCCGUAAAAUCGGUCUCAGUCCGGAUUGGAGUCUGCAACUCGACUCCAUGAAGUUGGAAUCGCUAGUAAUCGUGGAUCAGCAUGCCACGGUGAAUACGUUCCCGGGCCUU